rnacentral:rRNA from 1 species
UACGGGGGUGCGAGCGUUGUCCGGAAUCACUGGGCGUAAAGGGCGCGUAGGCGGGCGGUCAAGUCAGGGGUGAAAUCUUUCGGCUCAACCGGAAAAGUGCCUUUGAUACUGGCCGUCUCGAGGGAGGUAGGGGCAUGCGGAACUUCCGGUGGAGCGGUGAAAUGCGUAGAUAUCGGAAGGAACGCCGGUGGCGAAAGCGGCGUGCUGGACCUCUUCUGACGCUGAGACGCGAAAGCCAGGGGAGCAAACGGGG